rnacentral:rRNA from 1 species
GAUGAACGCUAGCGGCAGGCCUAAUACAUGCAAGUCGAACGGGUGGUCGCAAGACCCCUAGUGGCGCACGGGUGCGUAACGCGUAACCAACCUGCCCCGAUCUGGGGGAUAGCCCGCCGAAAGGCGGAUUAAUACCGCAUAUACCCGCAGCCUGGCAUCAGGCAACGGGGAAAGAUUUAUUGGAUCGGGAUGGGGUUGCGUGACAUUAGCUAGUUGGCGGGGUAAGGGCCCACCAAGGCGACGAUGUCUAGGGGACCUGAGAGGGUGAUCCCCCACACUGGCACUGAGAUACGGGCCAGACUCCUACGGGAGGCAGCAGUAGGGAAUAUUGGGCAAUGGGCGAGAGCCUGACCCAGCCAUGCCGCGUGCCGGAUGAAGGCCUUCUGGGUUGUAAACGGCUUUUCUCAGGGAAGAAAAAGACCUUGCGAGGUACACUGACGGUAUCUGAGGAAUAAGCACCGGCUAACUCCGU